GACGACCGCUGGCGGCGUGCUUAACCCAUGCAAGUCGAACGGAAAGGCCCUGCUUUUGUGGGGUGCUCGAGUGGCGAACGGGUGAGUAACACGUGAGUAACCUGCCCUUGACUUUGGGAUAACUUCAGGAAACUGGGGCUAAUACCGGAUAGGAGCUCCUGCUGCAUGGUGGGGGUUGGAAAGUUUCGGCGGUUGGGGAUGGACUCGCGGCUUAUCAGCUUGUUGGUGGGGUAGUGGCUUACCAAGGCUUUGACGGGUAGCCGGCCUGAGAGGGUGACCGGCCACAUUGGGACUGCGAUACGGCCCAGAAUCCUACGGGAGGCAGCAGUGGGGAAUAUUGCACAAUGGGCGGAAGCCUGAUGCAGCAACGCCGCGUGCGGGAUGACGGCCUUCGGGUUGUAAACCGCUUUCGCCUGUGACGAAGCGUGAGUGACGGUAAUGGGUAAAGAAGCACCGGCUAACUACGUG
rnacentral:rRNA from 1 species